GUUUCCAGGCUGAAGGAGACCAUGUUGACGGUCUCAGAGCAGAGCAGUAUGUUGCCGAUAGACAAGCAGAUAGGUCAAACUGUGGGAGUUUCUUUGGCAGCUAUUGCCCAAGAGAUGACCCCUCAGCAUGUUACCAUGCCAACUCCACCCUCUGGGACAUCAGAGACGGCUAGAGACAGAGUGACAGGAAGUCCCUUUGAAGAGAUGGCGGAUCCCCCUCUAAGGAAGCGUGGUGGGCGACAGAGACGUCAGCUGCUCUUUGCGGACCGCCACACCCAGAUAUCUGACAAAGAGAUGAUGCAGCAGCUUGAAAACCCGCUGGCUGAGACACUGGACCUGUCGAAGAUUUUGCUGCAACUUCCAUCACUGACCAAACAUGCCACUCCUGCUCAGCUCUUCAAUGCCCCCUGUGGAUUGUUCCUCCAUGCUGACCUCCAGUUACUAUGGAAACAGCAGGCCUCAAUCACCGUCCUGCCUGGACACGGGGAACAACAGACAGACGAGGAUGAGGUGAAAGGGGAGUCAGAG
rnacentral:lncRNA from 1 species